AUUGAACGCUGGCGGCAGGCCUAACACAUGCAAGUCGAGCGAGUGGCGGACGGGUGAGUAAUGUAUGGGGAUCUGCCCGAUAGAGGGGGAUAACUACUGGAAACGGUGGCUAAUACCGCAUACUAUAGGAUGAACCCAUAUGGGAUUAGGUAGUUGGUGGGGUAAAGGCUCACCAAGGCGACGAUCUCUAGCUGGUCUGAGAGGAUGACCAGCCACACUGGGACUGAGACACGGCCCAGACUCCUACGGGAGGCAGCAGUGGGGAAUAUUGCGCAAUGGGCGCAAGCCUGAUGCAGCCAUGCCGCGUGAAUGAAGAAGGCCUUAGGGUUGUAAAGUACUUUCAGCGGGGAGGCGUUACCCACAGAAGAAGCACCGGCUAACUCCGUGCCAGCAGCCGCGGUAAUUC
rnacentral:rRNA from 1 species